GCUCAGUCGGUAGAGCAUCAGACUUUUA
rnacentral:piRNA from 6 species